AGGACGAACGCUGGCGGCGUGCUUAACACAUGCAAGUCGAGCGGUGAUCCUCCCUCGGGAGGUGAUCAGCGGCGAACGGGUGAGUAACACGUGGGCAACCUGCCCCUCACACUGGGAUAACCUCGGGAAACCGGGCUAAUACCGGAUACGACCUCGAGCGGCAUCUCUUGAGGUGGAAAGCUCCGACGGUGAGGGAUGGGCCCGCGGCCUAUCAGCUUGUUGGUGGGGUAAUGGCCUACCAAGGCGACGACGGGUA
rnacentral:rRNA from 1 species